UACGGAGGGAGCUAGCGUUGUUCGGAAUUACUGGGCGUAAAGCGCGCGUAGGCGGCUUUGUAAGUUAGAGGUGAAAGCCCGGGGCUCAACUCCGGAACUGCCUUUAAGACUGCAUCGCUUGAAUCCAGGAGAGGUGAGUGGAAUUCCGAGUGUAGAGGUGAAAUUCGUAGAUAUUCGGAAGAACACCAGUGGCGAAGGCGGCUCACUGGACUGGUAUUGACGCUGAGGUGGCGAAAAGCGUGGGGAGCAAACAGG
rnacentral:rRNA from 1 species